rnacentral:rRNA from 1 species
AAAUUUGAAAUCUGGCUCUUUCAGGGUCCGAGUUGUAAUUUGCAGAGGGUGCUUUGGUGUUGGCGGCGGUCUAAGUUCCUUGGAACAGGACAUCGCAGAGGGUGAGAAUCCCGUAUGUGGUCGCCUGCCUUCGCCGUGUAAAGCCCCUUCGACGAGUCGAGUUGUUUGGGAAUGCAGCUCUAAAUGGGAGGUAAAUUUCUUCUAAAGCUAAAUACCGGCCAGAGACCGAUAGCGCACAAGUAGAGUGAUCGAAAGAUGAAAAGCACUUUGGAAAGAGAGUCAAACAGCACGUGAAAUUGUUAAAAGGGAAGCGCUUGCAGCCAGACUUGCCUGUAGUUGCUCGCCUGGGCUUUUGCCCGGGUUACUCUUCUGCAGGCAGGCCAGCAUCAGUUUGGGCGGUCGGAUAAAGGUCCCUGACACGUAUCUCCCUUCGGGGUUAACAUAUAGGGGGGACGUAAUGCGACCAGCCUGGACUGAGGUCCGCGCAUCUGCUAGGAUGCUGGCGUAAUGGCUGUAAGCGGCCCGUCUUGAAACACGGACCAAGGAGUCUAACAUCUAUGCGAGUGUUUGGGUGUCAAGCCCGAGCGCGUAAUGAAAGUGAACGGAGGUGGGAACCCCUCGGGGCGCACCAUCGACCGAUCCUGAUGUCUUCGGAUGGAUUUGAGUAAGAGCAUAGCUGUUGGGACCCGAAAGAUGGUGAACUAUGCUUGAAUAGGGUGAAGCCAGAGGAAACUCUGGUGGAGGCUCGCAGCGGUUCUGACGUGCAAAUCGA